GUAGGGUUAGGGUUAGGGUUUUCUCGGGGAUUUUAUUACAGUUUUGCCCUCAGAUAGUAAGGGGUGUAUCAGUAAAAAGACAAAGGUGAAUGGGGGAAAAAUAGGAGGUCGGUGUCAGUCUCUAUAUAAAGAGAGGCAAUGGCAAUUGAGUGUGUAAACUACUUGAUCUUAUCUGAGCAGAGCGGCGGUGAAGAAUGAACAGGUUCACACAAGACUCUCAAGAGUCAAACAAGACUCUCAAGAGUCAAGACUCCUUUCUGGCAUGGCAUCGAUUAGAGCAAGUUCCACGGAGAUAUUCAUUUACUCAAUUCAAUUUUUUGUUAUCAUGUAUGAGAUAUUCAUUUACUCAUUUCAAAUUGCACUCGUCUAGUUUAUUUGUAUUCAUUUUUAUAUUUAAUAAUAAGAUGCUUCGUUUCAUU